rnacentral:tRNA from 3 species
GGGCCGUUAGCUCAGUUGGUAGAGCAGCGGACUUUUAAUCCGUUGGUCGUGGGUUCGACUCCCGCACGGCCCAUCA